AGGCAUCCCCCGCUCUGAUCCUGUUGUCUGUCUGUAUGUUUGUUUUCUCUGUCUGUGCAUCAUGGUUCCUGUUGCCAUGCAACCUGGGGAGGUGUGGCCUCCUUCACUCAUCACCUGUUCCUGCUCAGCCUAAUCACCAUCACCUGUUCCUGCUCAGCCUAAUCACCAGCACCCACCUGUUUCUCAUCAUCAUCACCACCAGCUCUUAUACCGUGACCUGACAUCCAGUCCCUGUCGGAUCGUUAGUCUACCUAUAAUCCUGCUACGGACCAUCAACACUCUACACCUCCGGAUUGUCUUCACUCCCCUGCCGUCACAGCUUUUUCCUCUGCUUCACCUGGGUUGGUCAUCUGGUUCACGGAUUAGUUUCAACAAACUUUCAUUGAGCU